rnacentral:snRNA from 1 species
AUCGCUCCUCAGCCUUUUGGCUAAGAUCAAGUGUGG